CACGGAGUUAGCCGGUGCUUAUUCUAUAGGUACACUCAGCUCCACUCGCAAGUGGCAUUUGUUCCCUAUCAAAAGCAGUUUACAACCCAGAGGGCCGUCUUCCUGCACGCGGCAUGGCUGGUUCAGACUUGCGUCCAUUGACCAAUAUUCCCUA
rnacentral:rRNA from 1 species